rnacentral:lncRNA from 1 species
GGUGUAAAAUUGUUAAUCAGGUCAAGAUCUAUCUGCCCUGAAAUUUUCAGACAAAUCGGACAACCCGUUGUUUGGUUGCUGCCCCUGAAUUAGUAAUUUUAAGGAAAUUUUGCAGUUUUUGCUUAUUAUCUUGAAUAUUAUUAUAGAUAGAGAUAAACUGUAAACAGCGAUAAUGUUCAGCAAAGUAAUAUUUACAAAUAAGUCAACAUGACCAAAAUGGUCAGUUGACCCCUUAAGGAGUUAUUGCCCUUUAUAGUCAUUUUUUACCACUUUUUCGUAAUCUUUUGUAAUCUUUUACAAAAAUCUUCUCCUCUGAAACUACUGGACCAAGUUAAACCAAACUUGGCCUCAAUUAUCAUUGGAGUAUCUAGUUUAAAAAAUGUGUGGGGUAACCGGGCCAACCAACC